AUUGAACGCUGGCGGCAGGCCUAACACAUGCAAGUCGAACGAGUGGCGGAGGGGUGAGUAAUGUAUGGCAAAAUGCGCGAUGGAGGGGGGUAACUACAGGAAACGGUAGCUAAUACCGCAUACCAUCGGAUGUGCGCAGAUGGGAUUAGCUUGGAGUGGAGGGAAAGGCUCACCUAGGCGACGAUCCCUAGCUGGUCUGAGAGGAGUACCAGCCACACUGGAACUGAGACACGGUCCAGACUCCUACGGGAGGCAGCAGUGGGGAAUAUUGGACAAUGGGCGCAAGCCUGAUGCAGCCAUCCCGCGUGUAUGAAGAAGGCCUUCGGGUUGUAAAGUACUUUCAGCUGGGAGGCGUUAUCCGCAGAAGAAGCACCGGCUAACUCCGUGCCAGCAGCCGCGGUAAUUC
rnacentral:rRNA from 1 species